rnacentral:rRNA from 1 species
UACGGGAGUGGCAAGCGUUAUCCGGAAUUAUUGGGCGUAAAGCGUCCGCAGGCGGUCUUGAAAGUCUGUUGUUAAAGCGUGGAGCUCAACUCCAUUUAAGCAAUGGAAACUAGAAGACUAGAGUGUGGUAGGGGCAGAGGGAAUUCCCGGUGUAGCGGUGAAAUGCGUAGAUAUCGGGAAGAACACCAGUGGCGAAGGCGCUCUGCUGGGCCAUAACUGACGCUCAUGGACGAAAGCCAGGGGAGCGAAAGGGAUUAGAUACCCCUGUAGUCCUGGCCGUAAACGAUGAACACUAGGUGUCGGGGGAAUCGACCCCCCUCGGUGUCGUAGCCAACGCGUUAAGUGUUCCGCCUGGGGAGUACGCACGCAAGUGUGAAACUCAAAGGAAUUGACGGGGGCCCGCACAAGCGGUGGAGUAUGUGGUUUAAUUCGAUGCAACGCGAAGAACCUUACCAGGGUUUGACAUCCUGCGAAUCCCUUGGAAACUUGGGAGUGCCUUCGGGAGCGCAGUGACAGGUGGUGCAUGGCUGUCGUCAGCUCGUGUCGUGAGAUGUUGGGUUAAGUCCCGCAACGAGCGCAACCCACGUCUUUAGUUGCCAGCAUUGAGUUGGGCACUCUAGAGAGACUGCCGGUGAUAAACCGGAGGAAGGUGUGGAUGACGUCAAGUCAUCAUGCCCCUUACAUCCUGGGCUACACACGUACUACAAUGCUACGGACAGAGGGCAGCAAACUCGCGAGAGCUAGCAAAUCCCAUAAACCGUGGCUCAGUUCAGAUCGUAGGCUGCAACUCGCCUACGUGAAGGAGGAAUCGCUAGUAAUCGCAGGUCAGCAUACUGCGGUGAAUACGUUCCCGGGCCU